rnacentral:rRNA from 1 species
ACCACCUGAUCCCUUCCCGAACUCAGAAGUGAAACGACGCAUCGCCGAUGGUAGUGUGGGGUCUCCCCAUGUGAGAGUAGGUCAUCGUCAAGCU